rnacentral:rRNA from 1 species
GGCGAGCGACCUGGAAUAAGCCCAGCACUGAAUCCCGUGUCAUGUUGACAUUGGGAAUUGUAGUGUACAGGUUAUGUCUUUAAUUGUGGAUUCCGUUUCAAAUUUGCUUGAAUGUUAUCUAGUCCAUAGAGGGUGUUAGACCUGUAGAGACGGAUGAAACUUUUAUUGAUGUUUCCUAUGAGUCGGAUUGUUUGGGAAUGCAGUCCAAAUUUGGUGGUAAACUCCAUCUAAGGCUAAAUACUUGUAUGAGUCCGAUAGUAAACAAGUACCGUGAGGGAAAGUUGAAAAGAACUUUGAAAAGAGAGUUAAAUAGUACGUGAAAUCGCUUAAAGGUAAACGAGUGGAGCCGAAGUUAAUGUAUGGAAUUCAGUCUAUUGUGCGUUGUAACUUUUUGGCGAGAUCUUUAUAAGGAUUAGCUGAAUUGCUGUCGAUGCGCGAUGGAUGCACUUUCUAUGCAUUUUUACUGCGUCCAAUAAAGAUGUUUUUCUGUCGUGACACUUGAAGGUGAGCUCUUCUUCGGAAUUGAUGUUAUAUCUUGUUACACGGUUAAAUGAUCAUAUUGGUUAUUAGUGAUGGGUCAAUGCUUGAUGGGCUGUCAUGUUGGUUAUUGUGUGGUGAACUCAUAAGAGAUUACUGUGCGGUGAUUGAUGUGGCUGGUCUAUUGAGUGGAUCUGUCUAAAGUCCGCAGUGUUUAUGUAGGUUAUCUACUUGUCCCGUCUUGAAACACGGACCAAGGAGUUUUAUAUGAUUGCGAGUCUAAGGAUUCUACGAAAUCUGGUGGCGUAAUUAAUGUGAAGGUUUACUUUAUCGUAGACUGCAAUGUGACCUCAUGUUCUUCGGAAUCAUAGAGAGCAACAUUGGCCCGUCUAAAGGUGUCUUCAACGCAUCUGGGCGGAGUUAGAGCAAUCAUGUAGAGACCCGAAAGAUGGUGAACUAUGCUUGUGCAGGUUGAAGUCAGGGGAAACUCUGAUGGAGGACCGCAGCGGUUCUGACGUGCAAAUCGAUCGUCGGACAUGAGUAUAGGGGCGAAAGACUAAUCGAACCAUCUAGUAGCUGGUUCCCUCCGAAGUUUCCCUCAGGAUAGCUGGCAUUCGGUGUGUGAACAUAGUUGUAUCUGGUAAAGCGAAUGAUUAGAAGAAUUGGGGACGAAAUGUUCUCAACUUAUUCUCAAACUUUAAAUGGGUACGAUCGUUAGCUGUCUUCAAUGCAGUUGAUGGUCGAAUAUGAGUGCCUAGUGGGCCAUUUUUGGUAAGCAGAACUGGCGAUGUGGGAUGAACCAAAAAUCUAGUUAAGGUGCCUAAUAUCAUGCUCAUGAGAUACCACAAAAGGUGUUGGUUGAUAAAGACAGCAGGACGGUGGACAUGGAAGUCGUCAUCCGCUAAGGAGUGUGUAACAACUCACCUGCCGAAUCAACCAGCCCUGAAAAUGAAUGGCGCUAUAGCAUGAAACCUAUACUGGAUCGGCAUAGUAAGUGAUUUAUGAUUGAACGAGUACACUGUGUCGUGUAGGAGGGUGCCGUGGUUGCAACGAAGCUACUCACGUGAGUGGGAGUGGAGCGGCCACGGG